AUCAGUCUUGACAGCGCAGAUGAAGUUUGUUAUUGUUUUCUGCCCUUCCCGAGGGACUUUGGAAAUGGCCCCCUGGGAGGUGAAUUCUUGGAAAGAAUACGAGGGCGGUUAAGGCGUCCCUGUCUCAAAGUCCGCUUUUUUUGCAGCUACCAGGGACUGCGAGGGUCUGCGUCCUGGGUGGAAGGAAGCGGCGUCAGUCAACUUCCUCGCAGCGGCGGCAGCGGCGCGGGCAGCGGCGGAGCGCGCGGGUCUGCGCAUCCCGCCCCCGGGUUGGGAAGGGGCGGAGCCGGGCGUCACCCGCCCCCGGCGGUCUCCUCCUCCCGGCCGCUCCCCCAAGCCGAGCCCGCCGCGGUCGCAGCCGCCUGCGGGAAGCUAGUGGCCGGGAACCCGAGGCGGGAGUGCGGGCUGGGCCGGGCUGGGCUGCGCGCACGGGCUCGGCCGCCGCCCCUGCCGGACAUCCCUUUGCUCUUCCAUCGUCUUCUGCCAUGAUUGUGAGGCCUCCCCAGCCAUGUGGAACUGUUGCAUCCCCUGUCCUGAGUGCGUGGCACGG
rnacentral:lncRNA from 1 species